rnacentral:rRNA from 1 species
CCUACGGGAGGCAGCAGUGGGGAAUAUUGGACAAUGGGCGAAAGCCUGAUCCAGCCAUGCCGCGUGUGUGAAGAAGGUCUUCGGAUUGUAAAGCACUUUAAGUUGGGAGGAAGGGUUGUAGAUUAAUACUCUGCAAUUUUGACGUUACCGACAGAAUAAGCACCGGCUAACUCUGUGCCACCACCCGCGGUAAU